UCCUUUCUUGUGUUCAUUUACCUGCCCAUACUCCUCUUUGACUUGCUCACCUAGCUAAGCUUGCUCACUCUCCUGAAUCCUGGGAGCUCUUGCUAGCACUCCAGAUAUAAAGCUGUGUUUUGCAGUUUAUAGUAUUUUCCCCAUAAAAGCAUAGAAGAAAAAUUUGAGUACUGGAAAUCUCUGGCUUUGCAGUAGAAAACUUAGAGCUGUAAAGGAUUUGGUUACAGCAACUCCAUGGUAACAGAAAAAAAUAUCUCUUCCAUGCUCACUGGCAAACCAGCUUCCUUUUCCAUUGCUUCCACAUUUGAAUGGCAAACUAAUGGCGUGACUACUCAGCUGUCUCAGGAUUCCAGAAGCUCUACAAUUGCUUCUUUUGGAAAGAACCCCAGCUGAUGACUUCCAAGAUUCCCAGAAAAACUGAUGAUAAUUACUGCACACCAAAUACGUUCCUACAUGAUGUGCACUGAUACCUUUUUAUUUAAUAAAAAUGUGUCACCAUAUAUAUGUGCA
rnacentral:lncRNA from 1 species